GGCGCGCGUUUUAGGCGAUCGGCGUCGGGCUCAUAACCCGAAGGUCGCAGGUUCAAAUCCUGCCCCCCCGCUACCA
rnacentral:tRNA from 1 species